GUACAUGCAUAAUAUCAUUGCAAAAUAUUGCAUUUGUAACUCAGUUUUCUUUGCAAAAAAUUAUCAGAU
rnacentral:lncRNA from 1 species